rnacentral:lncRNA from 1 species
UAGCAUAGAAUUUAAAGGAGAAGUUAUAUGAUUGAAGCAAUAUUUGGUCAGCGACUAUCCAGAUGUAGCUAUAUGCCAUAAGUGUUCAUAAAAAGUCCGUCAGUUAAUGAAGAAACACUUCACUGAUUUUAAAGCAAUGAUGGAAAGAAAUUUGAUGAAGGUAGAGGUGGAUCGUCGAGCAGCAGAACCACCUGAUCACUUUAGGGAG